UACGGAAGGCAGCAGUGGGGAAUAUUGCACAAUGGGCGAAAGCCUGAUGCAGCUAUGCCGCGUGUAUGAAGAAGGCCUUAGGGUUGUAAAGUACUUUCAUCGGGGAGGAAAGAACAAAACUAAUAAUUUUAUUUCUUGACGUUACCCGAAAAAGAAGCACCGGCUAACUCCGUGCCAGCAGCCGCGGUAAUACGGAGGGUGCUAGCGUUAAUCAGAAUUACUGGGCGUAAAGAGCACGUAGGUGGUUUUUUUAAAGUCAGAUGUGAAAUCCCUGGGCUUAACCUAGGAACUGCAUUUUGAAACUGAAAUACUAGAGUAUCGUAGAGGGAGGUAGAAUUCUAGGUGUAGCGGUGAAAUGCGUAGAUAUCUGGAGGAAUACCUGUGGCGAAAGCGGCCUCCUAAACGAAUACUGACACUGAGGUGCGAAAGCGUGGGGAGCAAACAGGGAUUAGAUACC
rnacentral:rRNA from 1 species